rnacentral:rRNA from 1 species
AUACGUAGGGAGCAAGCGUUGUCCGGAUUUACUGGGUGUAAAGGGUGCGUAGGCGGCUCUGUAAGUCGGGCGUGAAAGGUGUGGGCUUAACUCACAAACUGCGUUCGAAACUGUGGAGCUUGAGUGAAGCAGAGGCAGGCGGAAUUCCCGGUGUAGCGGUGAAAUGCGUAGAGAUCGGGAGGAACACCAGUGGCGAAGGCGGCCUGCUGGGCUUUAACUGACGCUGAGGCACGAAAGCAUGGGUAGCAAACAGGAUUAGAUACCCUGGUAGUCCAUGCCGUAAACGAUGAUUACUAGGUGUGGGGGGUCUGACCCCCUCCGUGCCGGAGUUAACACAAUAAGUAAUCCACCUGGGGAGUACGGCCGCAAGGUUGAA